AUGGCUUCUUCUUCUUCAAUGGAAACUCCACAACCACAGCCACAUCCACAUCCUCCUCUCUACUUCGAUCAAAAAUGGAAGCUCUCAAAGAAAGAAGGAUCAACCAGAAGCCGAUCUUCAUCAGCAUCUUUCAUCAACAACACUUCAACAACACAAAGAAAGUGUGCUUUUGCCAGGAAAUGUGCCAGGCUUGUCAAAGAACAAAGAGCACGUUUCUACAUCAUGAGGCGUUGUGUUACUAUGCUUAUUUGCUGGCGUGAUUACAGCGAUUCAUAA